rnacentral:rRNA from 1 species
GUUCGGUCUCCUAUCCGCUGUGGGCGCUUGAAAAUUGAGAAGAUUCUUUCCUAGUACGAGAGGACCGGAAAGGACAAACCUCUAGUGCACCAGUUGUUCCACCAGGAGCAUGGCUGGGUAGCUACGUUUGGUUUGGAUAAACGCUGAAAGCAUCUAAGCGUGAAGCCGUCUUCAAGAUUAAUUUUCAUUAUCAGACCCCUCAAAGACUAUGAGGUUGAUAGGCAGUAAGUGUAAGUGUAGCAAUACAUUGAGCUGAGCUGUACUAAUCGGUCGAUUGUAUAACCA